rnacentral:rRNA from 1 species
CAAGCGUUAUCCGGAUUUAUUGGGUUUAAAGGGUGCGUAGGCGGGUUAUUAAGUCAGUGGUGAAAGCCUACAGCUUAACUGUAGAAUUGCCAUUGAUACUGAUGAUCUUGAGUAUGAUUGAGGUGGGCGGAAUGUGUCAUGUAGCGGUGAAAUGCUUAGAUAUGACACAGAACACCGAUUGCGAAGGCAGCUCACUAAGUCAUAACUGACGCUGAUGCACGAAAGCGUGGGGAGCAAACAGG